CGCAAUGGGCGAAAGCCUGACGGAGCAAUACCGCGUGAGGGAGGAAGGCUUUUGGGUCGUAAACCUCUUUUAUUGGGGAAGAAGAACUGACGGUACCCAAUGAAUCAGCAUCGGCUAACUCCGUGCCAGCAGCCGCGGUAAUACGGAGGAUGCAAGCGUUAUCCGGAAUUAUUGGGCGUAAAGCGUCCGCAGGUGGUUGUCCAAGUCUGCUGUUAAAGCGUCCAGCUUAACUGGAUACGGGCAGUGGAAACUGUGCGACUAGAGUUUGGUAGGGGUCACGGGAAUUCCCAGUGUAGCGGUGAAAUGCGUAGAUAUUGGGAAGAACACCAGCGGCGAAAGCGCGUGACUGGGCCUGAACUGACACUCAUGGACGAAAGCUA
rnacentral:rRNA from 1 species